GAUGAACGCUAGCGGCAGGCCUAACACAUGCAAGUCGAGGGGUAUCCCGCUUUCGGGCGGGAGAGACCGGCGCACGGGUGCGUAACGCGUAUGCAACCUACCCUGUACUGGGGGAUAGCCCGGAGAAAUUCGGAUUAACACCCCAUAGUACUAAUGAAUGGCAUCAUUUAUUAGUUAAAGGUUACGGUACAGGAUGGGCAUGCGUCCUAUUAGCUAGAUGGUAAGGUAACGGCUUACCAUGGCUACGAUAGGUAGGGGGCCUGAGAGGGUGGUCCCCCACACUGGAACUGAGACACGGACCAGACUCCUACGGGAGGCAGCAGUGAGGAAUAUUGGUCAAUGGGCGCAAGCCUGAACCAGCCAUGCCGCGUGCAGGAAGACGGUCCUAUGGAUUGUAAACUGCUUUUAUUUGGGAAUAAACCUCUUUACGUGUAGAGAGCUGAAGGUACCAAAUGAAUAAGCACCGGCUAACUCCGUGCCAGCAGCCGCCGUAA
rnacentral:rRNA from 1 species